rnacentral:rRNA from 1 species
AUACGGAGGGUGCAAGCGUUACUCGGAAUCACUGGGCGUACAGCGCGCGCAGGCGGCUAUUUAAGUUGGAUGUGAAAGCCUAUGGCUCAACCAUCGAACUGCAUCCAAAACUAUUUAGCUAGAGUGUGGGUGAGGAAGAUGGAAUUAGUUGUGUAGGGGUAAAAUCCGUAGAGAUAACUAGGAAUACCAAAAGCGAAGGCAAUCUUCUGGAACACUACUGACGCUGAGGCGCGAAAGCGUGGGGAGCAAACAGGAUUAGAAACCCUAGUAGUCC